UCGGACGGUAGCACAGAGGAGCUUGCUCCUCGGGUGACGAGUGGCGGACGGGUGAGUANUGUCNGGGGAUCUGCCCGAUAGAGGGGGAUAACCACUGGAAACGGUGGCUAAUACCGCAUAACGUCGCAAGACCAAAGAGGGGGACCUUCGGGCCUCUCACUAUCGGAUGAACCCAGAUGGGAUUAGCUAGUAGGCGGGGUAACGGCCCACCUAGGCGACGAUCCCUAGCUGGUCUGAGAGGAUGACCAGCCACACUGGAACUGAGACACGGUCCANACUCCUACGGGAGGCAGCAGUGGGGAAUAUUGCACANUGGGCGCAAGCCUGAUGCAGCCAUGCCGCGUGUAUGAAGAAGGCCUUCGGGUUGUAAAGUACUUUCAGCGGGGAGGAAGGCGAUGUGGUUAAUAACCGNNUUGAUUGACGUUACCCGCAGAAGAAGCACCGGCUAACUCCGUGCCAGCAGCCGCGGUAAUACGGAGGGUGCAAGCGUUAAUCGGAAUUACUGGGCGUAAAGCGCACGCAGGCGGUCUGUUAAGUCAGAUGUGAAAUCCCCGGGCUUAACCUGGGAACUGCAUUUGAAACUGGCAGGCUUGAGUCUCGUAGAGGGGGGUA
rnacentral:rRNA from 1 species